UCCCCAGACUCCGCCAGCGCUGCCUGCUCCUCCGCGCCGGGCAUCGCGUGUUGCCAGCUGCAGCGUCCGUUUCCCUAGCGACGGGGGUGCCAAGCUCUCCCGCCUCUGCUCUCCUUAUAUUGGGCACUGGACUCUAGCUCCGCCCCACUAAGUUAAUAAGAGUGUUGUAGACUAUGAGUAUGGUGAUCAGACAAGGAUGACUUAAAGGAGGGAAGAUUCUAGACCGGCAUUAUAGUAUCCUCCUACACUAACUCAAAGGGCUAAAGUCUGUGGAGUCCUACCCUCUGCUUCUGCAAGGCUAAGAGAUAAGAAGAUGUCUGCUUCUGCAACCUACUCAUGAACCCGAGCAUGCCCAAGAAAGAAGAUAUUCCUGUGCUGGAUUUCUCCUCUCCUGGAUGAGUGACAGCAGCUACUGAUGAAGCAGAUGACACAGCCCCUUGAGAUUCCCUCUGGAGCCCAGACACCAGGUUUGAAGUGGAAGAAGAGUAAAGAAAACUCUGCCUCAGCACACCCAUUUGUGAUCAUACCAUGGGUGGAGUUUCUACUCUUUAUUCUAUAGACAACACAGGUCAGCAACUCUUAACA